rnacentral:rRNA from 1 species
UGGGGAAUAUUGGGCAAUGGGCGCAAGCCUGACCCAGCAACGCCGCGUGAAGGAAGAAGGCUUUCGGGUUGUAAACUUCUUUUAAGAGGGAAGAGCAGAAGACGGUACCUCUAGAAUAAGCCACGGCUAACUACGUGCCAGCAGCCGCGGUAAUACGUAGGUGGCAAGCGUUGUCCGGAUUUACUGGGUGUAAAGGGCGUGCAGCCGGGUCUGCAAGUCAGAUGUGAAAUCCAUGGGCUCAACCCAUGAACUGCAUUUGAAACUGUAGAUCUUGAGUGUCGGAGGGGCAAUCGGAAUUCCUAGUGUAGCGGUGAAAUGCGUAGAUAUUAGGAGGAACACCAGUGGCGAAGGCGGAUUGCUGGACGAUAACUGACGGUGAGGCGCGAAAGUGUGGGGAGCA